UUUGAAGCAGAGAAACGAAAGAAGAAAAUCGGAGAAGAAAAGAAACAACAGUAUCAAGGUUAUAGAGCUUGUUUUUGAAGUUGUUGUUGUGCAAGACACUCUGACUUGAACGUUGUUGUCAGAUGAGCUUGUCAAUAUGUCUGGUGAUUGUCAUGAAGGCCCGGAGCAAGUUGUCACCUGUCGGCAACGGCAAAUGUACGGCUUUCGCUAAUUGUUGUAAAACGAUUUGGACUGGUGAGCGUAGAUAUAGGCUACGUCUACACUAGGAUGGAUAAUGGCCUUAAACGUGUAAUUACUUGGACUAUACCACAUGUCGGCUACACUAGUAUGCCUAUAGGGAAUGGGACGUACUACGUCACUGUUUGGCUAGGCCGCCAUGUUGGCAAUAUGCUUCCGGCAGGCUCAAUGGGGAUUGUAACGUGUGGUAGUGCUAACCUAAUUCCUUCGGUGUAUUAGAAAGAAAAUAUGGGUGUGCAUUGUUGUGUCACCGGGUGCAACAGUGUCUCCUGCGACAAAAACAAAAAGGGCGAGGAAAACUGGACUCACUUCUCACCGUUUUUCUGCAUGGAGGGCCAAAUAUCAGAUCACGAAGGCACGACGGAUGGCUGGGUUGCAGCGGUUCGUCGGAAAAGCAUUUCUUUUGAUCAUAUUUCUGCUGGAAUGAGAGCGUGUUCCCGUCAUCUCUACUCUUGAAAACCUGCAUAUGAAAUGCUGACAACACAUCCCGAUUGGUCACCAUAUCUCUUCUUGGGUUAUUCUGAGGUCAAGCGCACCACAUCGGAGCGUUAUGAGAGGUUGGAAAGGCGAAGAGUGCACGCUGAAACUUCAGUUUGCUCUGCUCUUACAAACACGAUCCCAAGUGUUGUUGUGAAAAGUCAAUAAAAUAUGAAUACCAAAACAUGACUUGAACAACUUCCUGACAAACUGUAACUGCUUGUUGUUUACUUCAGGUCUUCAUAAUAAACAGGUGUAAUAAUUACAAAGUCAGGUGACUUAAUUUUGUUAUUCUAUUUGGAAUAUGCAUUGACAAUGUGUGGACAGUGUUGUAGACAAGAACUGGGACUGAUAAGUUGCAAUAGAUUUAUUUCAAGUAAUGCAACUUCUCCAAUACAAUAUUUGAGCUGACAGUUUAAAAUCUUUAAAUUAGUGCAAACAAGGCCCACCCUCUGAUAGGGUCAGCAAAUAUUAUAUAAUUAUAAUAUAUACAAGUUUAACAUAAAUGUGUCUUUGUCAAAGCAGUUUAAAAACUAUUUACUGGCCUUGGGUAAAUUGCCAGACAGAAUAAAUAUGUGGUUUAAAGUUCUUGCAUUUCCAUUUUAGGUAUUGCAAGUUCUCCAACACAAUAUUUGAACUGACAGUUUAAAAUCCUUUUAGUGCAAAAUGGCCCACACUCUGACAGGGGGUAGCAAAUAUUAUAAUACAUAAUACAUUAUAAAAAGCUAUAUACUAUAUAAAUACAAGAUCACAACAAAACCUGUAUUUUUCAAAGCAGUUAAAAAAACAUUCAGUGGCCUCAGGUAGAUAAAGGUGUAUAAAUAUGUACAUUACAGUUCUUGCAUUUCUAUUUUAGGUAUUGCAACUUUUCCAACACUAUUUGAAUUGACAGUCUAAAGUCUACAUUAGUGCAAACAAGAAUAAUUAUAAAUAAUAAUAGAAUUUAUCAAUUCAACAUUACAAUGAAACGUGUCUUUGUCAAAGUGGUUAAAAAAAACAACACUUCACUGGCCUUAGUUAAAUAGCCAGGCAGAAUAAAUAUGUGCAUUAAAGUUCUUGCAUUUUCACAAGUUAAAAGCCCGCAGUUUAUCAGCAAGAAAGGCAGACCCAGACGACGUCUGCUGCAGGGGCUUGUUUGAUUCCGACACAAGACAAAUGGAACCACUCAAUUGAACAAAUUUUCUUUGUCAAAUAAUCCAAGAAGAGAGAUGGUGACCAAUCGGGAUGUCUUGUCAGCAGGUUUACCUAGUAACACAACAGCAGAAAUAUGAUCAAAAGAAAUGCUUUUCCGACGAACCGCUGCAACCCAGCCAUCCGUCGUGCCUUCGUGAUCUGAUAUUUGGUCCUCCAUGCAGAAAAACGGUGAGAAGUGAGUCCAGUUUUCCUCGCCCUUUUUUUUUUUGUCGCAGGAGACACUGUUGCACCCGGUAACA